AAGUGCUUUUCAAAACUAUUACGGUUGUUUGUGAUUAAACCAUAGCAGAUGACUUCAAAUUUCAUUACUUCAGAGCAGUUAUGCGCCCAAGAUGAUUUCUGAGGAAAGUCAAUCGACAGAAUGCAUAGCUUUUGGUUUGCAUGUUUAAUGCUCAAAUGUGGUCAUGGUUCUGAAAGUGAUAUUAGUCAAUGAGUGUUUUAUUCCAGGUAUUAUAAUAUAUAUUAUGAUUGUGAUUGAGAGGAUAUUUGCCAUAAAAACACAUAAAUGUAGGGAUUCUGAUAUAGCCUUAUAGGUGUUGUCCCACAGGAAGUUUCCCCCAGGCUUAUGGGGAUAAUGUCUCGCUGUUUACUUUGCCUAGUGGACUAGGCAUCAUCUACUAAACUUAAGUUGAAGCUAUAUUGGCCACCCAUCAUUUAUUCUGUAUGAUGAUGGAUUGUUUGCUAUUCUUUUCGUUAACUUUGGAGAGAGUUGAAUGUUACAUUACAUAUACACAAUGUACAUGUUUAUGCAAAAUAUACAGCUUCAAUCAGAUUUAAAUUGGUUGAUAUUUUUAAGCGGUGAUUCCCACUAGGUAACUCAAAAUUCUGUCAAGGUGAUGUGUGGGAUGAUGGUAGGGAGAAUUAUGUGGUAUAAUACCCUUGGAUUCAAAUGGAAGGUUUUGUUGUACUUGGAUUAGGCUAAUGUAGCUAGAUUUGAGAGUUUGUAUGCCUUAUGUCUGCAAAAGGAUAACUAAAUGCAUUAAAUAUCCCACACUUGUGAGUUUUUAUUGAGAAUUGAUAUAUGCAGUCUUAUUUUUACUUUGUAGAGAAGCUGCAUUUGUGACUCGA
rnacentral:misc_RNA from 1 species